rnacentral:rRNA from 1 species
AUUCCAGCUCCAAUAGCGUAUAUUAAAGUUGUUGCAGUUAAAAAGCUCGUAGUUGGAUUUCUGGGAGGGUGCCGCCGUCCGGCGUGUCCGUGUGCAGUGGCGCCCUUCCAUCCUUCUGUUAGCGUCUCUUGGCAUUCAUUUGCAGGUGGCGGGCUCAGAUAUUUUACCUUGAGAAAAUUAGAGUGUUCAAAGCAGGCCUUCGCUUGAAUACAUUAGCAUGGAAUAAUAGAAUAGGACUUUGGUUCUAUUUUGUUGGUUUCUAGGACCGAAGUAAUGAUUAAUAGGGACAGUUGGGGGCAUUAGUAUUUAAUUGUCAGAGGUGAAAUUCUUGGAUUUAUGAAAGACUAACUACUGCGAAAGCAUUUGCCAAGGAUGUUUUCAUCG